GAUGAAGAACGUAGCUAAAUGCGAUAAGUAAUGUGAAUUGCAGAAUUCAGUGAAUCAUCGAAUCUUUGAACGCACAUUGCGCCCCCUGGUAUUCCGGGGGGCAUGCCUGUUCGAGCGUCAUUUCAACCCUCAAGCUCUGCUUGGUAUUGAGUCCAUGUCAGCAAUGGCAGGCUCCAAAAUCAGUGGCGGCGCCGCUGGGUCCUGAACGUAGUAAUAUCUCUCGUUACAGGUGCUCGGCGUGCUUCUGCCAAAACCCCAAUUUUUCUAUGGUUGACCUCGGAUCAGGUAGGGAUACCCGCUGAACUUAAGCAUAUCAAUAAGCGGAGGA
rnacentral:misc_RNA from 1 species